UUUGGAGCCGUCUUCAUAGCAUUUGUAUGACUCUGUACAACUCGUUCUGGGAGAUUGUGAAAAUAGCAAUACUGAGUCUCAACCACACAGGUGACCUGCAAACUGGGGCCCGUCAUCACGGAGCUACACACGCACCUGGCCAGGACUCAGAGCAGCUACAGGAGGAGGGGUGGAAGGGGUGGGGAGGUGCGGCCCCGCUGCCGCCCUGUGCCAACACGGUGGGCCUGCAGGUCGGUGAGGAGCGUGGCCCGCAGCAGCUCGGUGUGCCUGACGCUGACCUCCAGAGACUGACGGCUGCUGCUGCACUUUCGCCUUCCCAGCCUCAUGCCAAUGCCUCAUGCUGCAGUCCUCACCUAGACGACAGGGAGAGGAACACUGGGAAACAGUUCUAGCAGCUAAGUUGACACAACACAAAACCAUCACAAGAAUUAAAAAAUCAGAAAUACCAGGCGGAUGUCAACGACGGCGCACUGUUCUAGAGGCACCACUGAGCUAACGUGUAGACCCUGCUUGCGAUGUACCAGGCACUCUUCUCAGCACUUGACAUGUGUCGACUCAUUUAAUCCUCUCAACAACCCCAGUGAAGCAGUGACUUUCAUUAUCCCUGUUUCACAGAUGAAAACCUGACACGUGGAGAAGAUCCCAAAGCUAGAAAAGGAAUGGUGUGAACAGAGGAAAGAGAAGCAGAAAAUGGAAGAGAAGCUGAGAGAGACAGCAGGAGGUUUUGUAUUUCACCAUUUGAAGAAUUCACAUCUGAAUAAGAAAAAAAUAUCCAUGUGAACUUCCUUCAUCCUAUUGGAAACAACAAUGUCAAAUUCUGAAACUUCAGAUCAAAAUGUCACAGGCCCAAGAGUCCCUGUCUGCACCUGAACCUGCUCCUGCCCUCUCCCUUCCCUUCCUGGCUAUCCCAGCAGUCUCCCCCCAGAUCGUCACCACCAGACCAUGGUCACGUGUGGCCUCAGUUGCUUGUCACUGGGAUAUAAAGGAGUCCUCCUCUAGUGACUCUCCAAAGAGAAGCAAUUAUCAAGUAAAAUGAAAAUUUUGCUUGCAAUUUUCACAGGCCUACAGCCCUUGCUAUCUGUAUCUGAUUCUGAAGCUCUAUAAGGCCAAGUGUGACGCAUUGGGUAUAACCUAUGUGCUAUCCCCUUAACAAGGCUAACUAUUACUGCAUAAAACCACCCUAAAACCCCAGGACUUAGAACAAAACAGUUUACUAUUUCUCACAAUUCUGUGGGUUCGCCCAGAGUUCAUAUGCCUCACUGGUGGUGGCUGGGGUAUUGGGAUGGUUAGAAGGUCCUAAGUGGCUUCACUCCCACGACUGGCAUAGGUGCCGGCUGUCAGCUGGGAGCUCAGCUGGGCUGUUGGCUGGAGGCCUCAGUUGUCUUCCACUUGAGUCUCUCACAUGGCUCACUGGGCUUCCUCACAGCAUGGGAGCUGGGUUCCAAGAAGGGAUGUUCCAACAAGUAUAGGAAGAAGCUGCAGUUCUCUUCCAUAAAGUACUGCUAUGUUCUAUAUGUUAAAGUGAGUCACAUGGUCAGUUCAGAUUCAAGGGGAGGUGAAAUGGCAAGGAUACACUACAUAAAAGCAUGUACGGUUGAGAGAUACAAGCAUGACCAUCCAAGGCAGAAAGAAGAAGAUAGCUAAUAAAAAAAAGGCUACAUUGGACGGCUGACUUCUAGGUGCUUAGAUAUGGGUGGUAGAGUCAGACUCAGUGAUCCCUAGGGAGGGUUCAGUGAGUAGCUAAGAACUAAGACCUUUGUAAAGAACCCCAUUUGGCUCAUUGCCUGGGAAGUGAUCUUAAACAUCCUUCUUGUAAAAAUUCUGCCAGCCUCCUUAAUUUUGGCCCAGGACACAAACUGAUCUUGAGGAAAGUAGUCAUUAUAGUUUCCUCCAAAUAAGUUGCCAAGCUCUAGAUCAUGAGACCCUGGACACAACUGAUUGAACCCAGAACCCAGGCCAGAGAUGCGGGACCUAGGAGAGACCAGCAGCCAGUGAGAAGGCCCAUGUGCAGCUCUGCCCAAUAGGACCACUUCUUAUUGGGUGGUGAUUAUCCAACAUGCCCAGAUCUUCACCACUGGAAGUUUUUAAUACUGUGUUUCCCUGAAAAUAAGACCUACCCAUAAAUAAGCCCUACCAGGAUUUCUAAGCAUUUGCACAA